rnacentral:rRNA from 1 species
AUACGUAUGGGGCAAGCGUUAUCCGGAUUCAUUGGGCUUAAAGCGCGUGUAGGCGGCUUGUUAAGUCAGAUGUGAAAACCGGGGGCUUAACCCGCGGCGUGCAUCUGAAACUGGCAGGCUUGAGUCUGGUAGAGGAAAGUGGAAUUCCUAGUGUAGCGGUGAAAUGCGCAGAUAUUAGGAGGAACACCAGUGGCGAAGGCGGCUUUCUGGGCCACGACUGACGCUGAGACGCGAAAGCUAGGGGAGCAAACAGGAUUAGAAACCCCGGUAGUCC